rnacentral:sRNA from 1 species
UGGAAUGGGAAUAAAGAGCUAACAUAAUAUGGACGGGGAAUGCCUAUAAAUCAGCACUUUGUUACUUUUAAAAUGCUUGAUUUCUAUUAAAAAUAAGAAGGUUCCCUACCUUUUCCCUACCAAAAAGCU